rnacentral:rRNA from 1 species
CCUACGGGAGGCAGCAGUAGGGAAUAUUGCUCAAUGGGGGAAACCCUGAAGCAGCAACGCCGCGUGGAGGAUGGAGGUUUUCGGAUUGUAAACUCCUUUUGUUAGAGAAGAUAAUGACGGUAUCUAACGAAUAAGCACCGGCUAACUCCGUGCCAGCAGCCGCGGUAAUACGGAGGGUGCCAGCGUUACUCGGAAUCACUGGGCGUAAAGAGCGCGUAGGCGGGAUAGCAAGUCAGAUGUGAAAUUCUAUGGCUUAACCAUAGAACUGCAUUUGACACGGUUAUUCUAGAGUAUGGGAGAGGUAGGUGGAAUGCUUGGUGUAGGGGUAGAAUCCGUAGAGAUCAAGAGGAAUACUCAUUGCGAAGGCGAGCUGCUAGAACAUAACUGACGCUGAUGUGCGAAAGCGUGGGGAGCAAACAGGAUUAGAUACCCUUGUAGUC